rnacentral:sRNA from 17 species
CCGCGCCCGCUACCUGAAAGCCAAGGCUUUCUGGUCUGUGCGACUUUGAAUCUGGUCGUGCCGCUGGCCCAGUGGCCACCGCCAUGCGCAUCAGAGAUACCGCCGGUCUAAAGCGUCCGCGUAGGUCUCGCGCAGUUUCCGUGCUGAUCGGCUUCGGCCUUCGGCGCGGCGACGUAGAUAGCACGACAGGUCG